rnacentral:lncRNA from 1 species
UUGUCCCUGAUCGACUCUCAGGUUAUGUCUAAAAACUAUGAGAAAUACCAUGAAGAUCAACUUUCAAUAAAUCAAAAUUCAAUUAUAUAAAAGAAUUAAAAAAUAAUAAUUAAGAGAAUAAGUAAUUUAUUUUUUUAACAAAAAAAAAAAAGAGAUGACAACCUAGAAUUCUAAAUUGAAAGGCAAAAUUAAAUUAUAAUAAAAAAAUCCAAUACAAA